rnacentral:misc_RNA from 1 species
GUGGACAAAUCAGAUGCAGGAAACCUUGAACUCUAAGCAACAAGGAGAUGCUGCUUUCCGAGCCAAGGAUUUCAUAACAGCCAUUGAAUGCUACACACAGUUCAAUGAUGGAGGGACCAUGGUGUCACCCACCAUAUACGCGAGGCGCUGCUUGUGUUAUCUGAUGAGCGACAUGGCACAAGAAGCUUUAGGAGAUGCAAUGCAAGCUCAGGUUAUAUCCUCUGAGUGGCCUACCGCCUUUUAUCUCCAGUCUGUUGCCCUUUUUACCCUUGGGAUGGAGAAUGAUGCUCAAGAAGCACUAAAAGAAGCCACAAAGUUGGAAGGCAAAAGGAGCAAAAAUUAAAAUACUAGUGUGUAGACUUACAUUUCUUGAUUUUUCAAGUUUCUUGUGAUGAUAUAAAGUUGUUACUAUGUCAAUAGUUUAUUUCUAAACUAAAUUACUUUUGAUUUUGUGCUCACAUUCUGUCAAGGCAUUGGAGAAUUAUAGAUUGCCCCUUUUGUUCUUG